rnacentral:rRNA from 1 species
AAAACGACUCUCGGCAACGGAUAUCUAGGCUCUCGCAUCGAUGAAGAACGUAGCGAAAUGCGAUACUUGGUGUGAAUUGCAGAAUCCCGCGAAUCAUCGAGUUUUUGAACGCAAGUUGCGCCCGAUGCCUUCCGGCCGAGGGCACGUCUGCCUGGGUGUCACGC